ACAUGCCCUGACAUCUAGUAACACGAUCUCAAAUUUAGUAACCAUAUUGAACCAUAUAAACAAGCCUUUUUAACGUAUUGAUUAAAUUGGAGCUUAAUUUGGUUAUUUAUUUAUAAAUUUAAUAAGUAAAACAUCUCUUUAAGAAGAUUUAAUGGGAUUUUCCAUAAUUAUAAAUCCCUCCACAUUAUUUAUAAUCAAUACAAUGGAAAAAGAAAGCCUGAACAAAGAAGCUGUUUAUAAUAUAAACUGGUAUGAUGUAGAUGUGUCAACACAAGAAGAUUUUUUUAUGCCUCAAAGAAUCGCAUGUGAUGAAUGUGAUUAAUAAAUAUGUUUUAAUAUAUUAACUAUUAUUUUAAA